rnacentral:rRNA from 1 species
AGGCUGCAACUCGCCUGCAUGAAGUCGGAAUUGCUAGUAAUCGCAGAUCAGCAUGCUGCGGUGAAUACGUUCCCGGGCCCUUGUACACACCGCCCGUCACACCAUGGGAGUCGGUAACACCCGAAGUCGGUAGCCUAACCGUAAGGAGGGCGCCGCCGAAGGUGGGAUUGAUGACUGGGGUGAAGUCGUAACAAGGUAAC